AUUGAACGCUGGCGGCAGGCCUAACACAUGCAAGUCGAACGGUAACAGGAAGAAGCUUGCUUCUUUGCUGACGAGUGGCGGACGGGUGAGUAAUGUCUGGGAAACUGCCUGAUGGAGGGGGAUAACUACUGGAAACGGUAGCUAAUACCGCAUAACGUCGCAAGACCAAAGAGGGGGACCUUCGGGCCUCUUGCCAUCGGAUGUGCCCAGAUGGGAUUAGCUAGUAGGUGGGGUAACGGCUCACCUAGGCGACGAUCCCUAGCUGGUCUGAGAGGAUGACCAGCCACACUGGAACUGAGACACGGUCCAGACUCCUACGGGAGGCAGCAGUGGGGAAUAUUGCACAAUGGGCGCAAGCCUGAUGCAGCCAUGCCGCGUGUAUGAAGAAGGCCUUCGG
rnacentral:rRNA from 1 species